rnacentral:rRNA from 1 species
UGCAGUCGAGCGAACAGAUAAGGAGCUUGCUCCUUUGACGUUAGCGGCGGACGGGUGAGUAACACGUGGGUAACCUACCUAUAAGACUGGGAUAACUUCGGGAAACCGGAGCUAAUACCGGAUAAUAUUUCGAACCGCAUGGUUCGAUAGUGAAAGAUGGUUUUGCUAUCACUUAUAGAUGGACCCGCGCCGUAUUAGCUAGUUGGUAAGGUAACGGCUUACCAAGGCGACGAUACGUAGCCGACCUGAGAGGGUGAUCGGCCACACUGGAACUGAGACACGGUCCAGACUCCUACGGGAGGCAGCAGUAGGGAAUCUUCCGCAAUGGGCGAAAGCCUGACGGAGCAACGCCGCGUGAGUGAUGAAGGUCUUCGGAUCGUAAAACUCUGUUAUUAGGGAAGAACAUACGUGUAAGUAACUGUGCACGUCUUGACGGUACCUAAUCAGAAAGCCACGGCUAACUACGUGCCAGCAGCCGCGGUAAUACGUAGGUGGCAAGCGUUAUCCGGAAUUAUUGGGCGUAAAGCGCGCGUAGGCGGUUUUUUAAGUCUGAUGUGAAAGCCCACGGCUCAACCGUGGAGGGUCAUUGGAAACUGGAAAACUUGAGUGCAGAAGAGGAAAGUGGAAUUCCAUGUGUAGCGGUGAAAUGCGCAGAGAUAUGGAGGAACACCAGUGGCGAAGGCGACUUUCUGGUCUGUAACUGACGCUGAUGUGCGAAAGCGUGGGGAUCAAACAGGAUUAGAUACCCUGGUAGUCCACGCCGUACACGAUGAGUGCUAAGUGUUA